AUUGAACGCUGGCGGAAUGCUUUACACAUGCAAGUCGAACGGCAGCACGGGGCAACCUGGUGGCGAGUGGCGAACGGGUGAGUAAUAUAUCGGAACGUGCCCAAUCGUGGGGGAUAACGUAGCGAAAGUUACGCUAAUACCGCAUACGAUCUACGGAUGAAAGCGGGGGAUCGCAAGACCUCGCGCGAAUGGAGCGGCCGAUAUCAGAUUAGGUAGUUGGUGGGGUAAAGGCUCACCAAGCCAACGAUCUGUAGCUGGUCUGAGAGGACGACCAGCCACACUGGAACUGAGACACGGUCCAGACUCCUACGGGUGGCAGCCUGAGACUCCAAGGCACACAGGGGAUAGG
rnacentral:rRNA from 1 species